UUGUCCCAGGUUUAGCAAGUGGGAGCCCCUUUAACUUGGUUGCUGUGCCCUUUUCACAUGUCUCCAUCAUUCUUUGAGCACUCUCUUGUUUUCUGGCACCACAAGAUGUCCCAGGCUUGCGUGGUACCUUCUCUGCCCAGCUCUGGCAUCAACCAUUUCUCUGAGACACUCUGAGUCCUUCUGGUGAAGGCUGGUAUUUAUAAACCAAACUCUGGGUACCCUGUGGGUACUGAGCAACAUUUAGUCUGAAGCCAUGAGAAAUGGAGCAGCACUUACUCGUCUGUGUAUUAGUCAUGCUAACUAGUGUCACCUGGAGAAAGAAGCAUAUGUGUCACUCAUGGAGAGUCUGAUGCAGAUUAGUGGAUCCUGGGAGAUUCCAUCUUUGCAGCCCUGACGUCCCCUCACGAGGUCAUUGCUGAAGAGAAGGCCGAGGAGUCAUGCCCGUUCUUAAGAUACUUCCAGGAAGGAAGUCUGCAUCACUUUUGCUCACAUUGCCAUUUGCCAGAAGUCCAAGGGAGUCUGGGCAGCACAGAGAACACACAGGUAGUUGGUGCGCCCUUACCCCUUCUAACCACAGUAUGUUCAUUCAUGCAACAAAUGUCAACUCAGUUCCUCGUAGCCAAGCUGACUCCAAGAGGCUGAGAUGACUUCACCUCAGGUGGUUCACAGCAGGGGGAGAAAGGAGGAUCAUCUCGAUGGUAGAGCAUGAGAUGGAGGGGAGAGAAGACACCAAGACACAUGGACCUGUUGGGAGGCUCUGGCAACCAUGUAGACCGUGUGGCUGAUAUUAUUUGCUCACAAUUGUUCCUGGCCUCCUCACAUUGCUGUGGCUUCCCUGUGGACAGGACGUAGCUCUUGCUCGCCCGCUGACCUGCUUUGGUCCUGGGUGCAUGAGUUGAGUUAACAUAUGCUCCAUCCAACCAGAAGCUCCAAGUAUGUGAAUGGCUGGGGCAACCCUCUUGGCUCCCACCCUGCAUCCUGAGAAGGCAAGCCCCAGGGAUAUCAGUGGCCUGGGAAUGAGAGAGUGGAAGAGCAAACUGAACCUGACCCACAUUUCGGGGCAAAGCUUCCCCAGCUGACCACAGA